GAUGAACGCUGGCGGCGUGCCUAAUACAUGCAAGUCGAGCGAACAGACGAGGAGCUUGCUCCUCUAACGUUAGCGGCGGACGGGUGAGUAACACGUGGAUAACCUACCUAUAAGACUGGGAUAACUUCGGGAAACCGGAUCUAAUACCGGAUAAUAUAUUGAACCGCAGGGUUCAAUAGUGAAAGACGGUUUUGCUGUCACUUAUAGAUGGAUCCGCGCCGCAUUAGCUAGUUGGUAAGGUAACAGCUUACCAAGGCAACGAUGCGUAGCCGACCUGAGAGGGUGAUCGGCCACACUGGAACUGAGACACGGUCCAGACUCCUACGGGAGGCAGCAGUAGGGAAUCUUCCGCAAUGGGCGCAAGCCUGACGGAGCAACGCCGCGUGAGUGAUGAAGGUCUUCGGAUCGUAAAACUCUGUUAUUAGGGAAGAAAAAAUGUGUAAGUAACUAUGCACGUCUUGACGGUACCUAAUCAGAAAGCAACGGCUAACUACGUG
rnacentral:rRNA from 1 species